GAGCUAAUACCGGAUAAUAUAUUGAACCGUAUGGUUCAAUAGUGAAAGACGGUUUUGCUGUCACUUAUAGAUGGAUCCGCGCCGCAUUAGCUAGUUGGUAAGGUAACGGCUUACCAAGGCAACGAUGCGUAGCCGACCUGAGAGGGUGAUCGGCCACACUGGAACUGAGACACGGUCCAG
rnacentral:rRNA from 1 species